AACCACUCACGCCUAGCGUGGUAUUGGGGCACGCGGUCUCGCGGCCCUCAAAAUUAGUGGCGGCGCCGGUGGGCUCUAAGCGUAGUACAUACUCCCGCUAUAGAGUUUCCCCGGUGGCUCGCCAGAACCCCCCAAUUUUUUACA
rnacentral:misc_RNA from 1 species